rnacentral:tRNA from 1 species
GGACUGUAGCUCGGUGGUAGAGCAUUUGCCUUGCAUGUGUGAGGUGCUGGGUUCAAUCCUCAGCACCG